CGGGGUUUCUAUAUAAUGGCAGCGGGUGCCGCCUUUCGCCCUCUUCCUCUUCGGGUUUUCUACGAGUCGGAACGUCGACAAAGAGAGCACUUCGGCUCAUCCAGAAAUGACAGCCUUACCCAGCAUGUCCAACAAUGGACAUAUGCAAAUAAGACAGAUAUUUGGAAAUUCCAAAGGUGCAAAAGCAUACCAUGGAAGUCAGAGCGUCAUAUGCAGGUGACAGUCAUCGGCUGACUAUAAAGCGACUAGAUGAAGACUGCUCAUGUUCAGGCAUCAAACUGUUCAUGAUCUCAGGCUGGCACCACAAGACUACGUGGGCAUCUGCCUUGACAUCGUUGUGAAGGUCCCUUGCCAUGUUGGAUCCACAUCCAGAACUGCAAACUGUAGGGGCAAGUUGCAAGACUCAUCUUUGACUGACUUGCCUGUAAAACAUGAAUGUGUAAUGGCAUUGGAAUAACAGCACUAUAGGAGCUGUGAAAUGACAGAUCUGUGAAAGGUGAAUUUUGGUAUUGUAUCAGCAGGCAAUUCUGUAAACUUGAAUGUAAUAAAACUGACUCGGCUGUUGUUGGAAA